rnacentral:rRNA from 1 species
UACAGAGGUCUCAAGCGUUGUUCGGAUUCAUUGGGCGUAAAGGGUGCGUAGGUGGCUUGGUAAGUCGGAUGUGAAAUCCCGGGGCUCAACCCCGGAACUGCAUUCGAUACUGCCAGCUGGAGUACUGGAGAGGAGAUUGGAAUUUACGGUGUAGCAGUGAAAUGCGUAGAUAUCGUAAGGAAGACCAGUGGCGAAGGCGGAUCUCUGGACAGUUACUGACACUGAGGCACGAAGGCCAGGGGAGCAAACGGGAUUAGA